AUGUACUCCAAAUGCUUCUGGAGCAAAAGAAUCCCAUCCAGCAGUAGGGCUUAUUUUUGUCUCCGUGUACAUGUUGGAGGCACUUCUGAUCCAGCAUCACAAGGUGGCACCAUAACAUCGAAUCAAGCCAUGACUUCAUUUCAUUGUUUCAACUUCCCUGAGCUGUGGGGUACCGUAUAGGAUCUGUGAUGCCACAAACAAAAAGAGGAAAACUUGGUGAAUUGAUUUUAGAACUGCACAUAAUUACAGAGAAAGUCUCAUAUUUGAUCAGAUUCAUGAAGUUAAAUCUUACAAGGGGCAAAACUAGCUUUAGAAACAGGACAUGAAAACGGACUGAUUUUAUAGAAUAAUUUGUGUACAUGAGAAUUUUUUUUCCUGAUGCACACCUCAGUUGGGUUGGGACCAGUAUAAUGACAAUACUCCUUUAUACUCUUUUCAGCUGUGUCUAAUGCUGAUAGUGUAAUUUUCCAUAGUUACUCAAUCCCUGGUGGUGUUCAAUGGACAGAGCCUUGGGUCACAUGGUUUAGUGUGAGGUGUCCCUCUCCAUGGUGGGGGGUUGGAACUAGAUGAUCUUAAAGUCCUUUCCAACCCUGACUAUACUAUGAUUCUAUUUGGUUUUGUGUGAUGUCAGUGAUAUCUGAUAUUGAUCAGAAUAAUAGUGGCUGGGUUUUUUUCCCCUUUUCAUGAGUUAAUGUUUUUAAUUCCAUCUGUUCAAUUUUGCUGUCUUUUAGUAUCAUUGGAUAUUUUUUUACUGUUUUUUCCUUAUGUAAUAGUAGUGCCUCGUGGUGUUUUGUUUGUAAAAAUCACUAUUUCACAUCGUCUGUCAUGUGUUCUCUAGAAAUCUGGCGGCUGCAGCUGCUGCAUAUAAUAGCAAAUGUUGGUUUAUAGAAAGUUUUAUUGUCUGUCUUUUAUAAGUUAUGCUGGUUUGUUGCCUAGAGAACAGUGACAAACACUAAGUUGAAGUCUUUAUAGGUGGUCUGUGGUAUUUAUAUUUUUUUCUUGGUAUGAGAAAACAUCAGAAUGGAUUAAUUCAACUUUGAUCAUUUUAGAUGCACUGAAGUUUCUCUACCAUAACGUUUUGUGUUGAAAAAUUCUGUAUUUGACUGUUGUGAAACAUCUCCAUCUCAGAUGAGCUGUGUUUCACCUUCAAUGGAGCUUAGGCACAGGCCUAGUGUUCAGA
rnacentral:lncRNA from 14 species